CCUACGGGUGGCAGCAGUGAGGAAUAUUGGUCAAUGGGCGCGAGCCUGAACCAGCCAAGUCGCGUGAGGGAUGACGGUUCUAUGGAUCGUAAACCUCUUUUAUAAGGGAAUAAAGUGUGGGACGUGUCCUCUUUUGUAUGUACCUUAUGAAUAAGGAUCGGCUAACUCCGUGCCAGCAGCCGCGGUAAUUCGGAGGAUGCGAGCGUUAUCCGGAUUUAUUGGGUUUAAAGGGUGCGUAGGCGGACGCUUAAGUCAGCGGUAAAAGUGCGGGGCUCAACCUCGUCGAGCCGUUGAAACUGGGUGCCUUGAGUGGGCGAGAGGUACGCGGAAUGCGUGGUGUAGCGGUGAAAUGCAUAGAUAUCACGCAGAACUCCGAUUGCGAAGGCAGCGUACCGGCGCCCAACUGACGCUGAGGCACGAAAGCGUGGGUAUCGAACAGGAUUAGAUACCCCAGUAGUC
rnacentral:rRNA from 1 species